GACGAACGCUGGCGGCGUGCUUAACACAUGCAAGUCUAGCGGAAAGGCCCUGCUUUUGUGGGGUGCUCGAGUGGCGAACGGGUGAGUAACACGUGAGUAACCUGCCCUUGACUUUGGGAUAACUUCAGGAAACUGGGGCUAAUACCGGAUAGGAGCUCCUGCUGCAUGGUGGGGGUUGGAAAGUUUCGGCGGUUGGGGAUGGACUCGCGGCUUAUCAGCUUGUUGGUGGGGUAGUGGCUUACCAAGGCUUUGACGGGUAGCCGGCCUGAGAGGGUGACCGGCCACAUUGGGACUGAGAUACGGCCCAGACUCCUACGGGAGGCAGCAGUGGGGAAUAUUGCACAAUGGGCGGAAGCCUGAUGCAGCAACGCCGCGUGCGGGAUGACGGCCUUCGGGUUGUAAACCGCUUUCGCCUGUGACGAAGCGUGAGUGACGGUAAUGGGUAAAGAAGCACCGGCUAACUACGUG
rnacentral:rRNA from 1 species